rnacentral:rRNA from 1 species
GAGACCCACACCCCCUGUUGCCACUGAGGAGUUUUCCAAGGGGCACUCUGGGGGGACUGCCGUCGAUAAGACGGAGGAAGGGGUGGGCUACGGCAGGUCAGUAUGCCCCGAAUCCUCCGGGCCACACGCGAGCUGCAAUGGCUGGGACAGUGGGUUCCGACCUCGAAAGGGGAAGGUAAUCCCGAAACCCGGCCUCAGUUUGGAUCGAGGGCUGAAACCCGCCCUCGUGAAUAAUGGAAUCCCUAGUAAUCGCGCGUCAUCAGCGCGCGGUGAAUAC